AAAGGGAGACCUAAUUCAGGUAAAGGACGAAAAAAAAGUAGUCGCUACCAAGAAUCAAUCCCAAAAGGUCGGAGCGAGGCGAAAUUGGCUUUCAAACUAGGUUCUGGGUUCAAACAAGACCUGAAUCAGGAACAAGGGCUAUUAGCUCAGGUGGUUAGAGCGCACCCCUGAUAAGGGUGAGGUCCCUGGUUCGAGUCCAGGAUGGCCCACCUGCACAGGUGGCAAAAACAAGAGAAGCGAGGAAUCAGCACCUUAUCUUACUUAUAUAGUAAGAGAGAAUGCUGGCUCUGAGUAAAGAGUCCAGAGGAACCUUGAAAACUGCAUAGAGCUAGGUGAAAAAGCCAAAAAAGAAGACCGCAAG
rnacentral:tRNA from 1 species